rnacentral:rRNA from 1 species
GACGAACGCUGGCGGCGUGCUUAACACAUGCAAGUCGAACGGAAAGGCCUGCUUUCCCUUGUGGAUUGCGGGUACUCGAGUGGCGAACGGGUGAGUAACACGUGAGUGAUCUGCCCCCAACUUGGGUAUAAGCCUGGGAAACUGGGUCUAAUUCCCGAUAGGACUGCAGGGUGGUGCCUGUGGUGGAAAACGAUUUUCUAGUGGUUGGGGAUGAGCUCGCGGCCUAUCAGCUUGUUGGUGGGGUAAUGGCCUACCAAGGCGGCGACGGGUAGCCGGCCUGGGAGGGUGGACGGCCAAAUUGGGACUGAGAUACGGCCCAGACUCCUACGGGAGGCAGCAGUGGGGAAUAUUGCACAAUGGGCGGAAGCCUGAUGCAGCGACGCCGCGUGGGGGAUGACGGCCUUCGGGUUGUAAACUCCUUUCGACCGCGAGGAAGCCACCUGGUUGGAAGGGUGGUGACGGUAGUGGUAGAAGAAGCACCGGCUAACUACGU